UUUUGCAUAACAUAGAGCCGCCCUCCCCAACAGAACGCGCCGCUGUAAAGCAGCCAUUAACGGCGAACAGAGGUUUUGUCCCCGGUGAACCAAUGAAGGCUUCAAGCUCCGACACGAACCAACCAGCGAGCUCGAAGCUCGCGCAACCGAUAACAACCAAAUUUCACCAGUGAACCAGCGACACCAACUCCGGCAAAACAGUUUUCAGCUGAAAAAAGUGAGCUUGACAAUGGAAGAAGAUAAGGGGUUGAAGAAAGAGAAGAAAAACAUCCCUGUACUGCCAUGGAUGAGAAACCCAGUUGAUAUUACUACCUUUGAUCAAUGCUCUGUAGAUCUUUUGCCUUUUAUUGAUCCCAGGUUAGUGGCGGCUUUGAAGAAUAUGAGCAUCACUUCACUCUUUCCCAUGCAACUUGCUGUCUGGCAAGAGACGAUUGGACCUGGCUCUUUUGAACGAGACCUUUGUAUAAAUUCACCUACAGGGAGCGGGAAAACUAUUGCUUAUGCCUUACCAAUUGUUCAGAUGCUGUCUACACGUGCUGUUAAAUGUCUUCGUGCAUUAGUGGUCUUGCCUACUAGAGACCUUGCAUUGCAGGUCAAAGAGGUCUUCUCUGCUCUUGCACCUGCAGUAGGUCUGUCUGUCGGCUUGGCAGUAGGUCAGUCAUCAAUUUCAGAUGAAAUCUCUGAGCUCAUCAAGAAACCCAAUGUUGAGUAUGGCAUAUGUUAUGAUCCUGAAGAAUUCUCAUACGAGUUACAAAGUGCAGUAGACAUAUUAGUGGCAACUCCUGGAAGACUGAUGGACCACAUCAAUAACACUGAUGGUUUUACGCUUGAGCAUCUAUCAUAUCUUGUUGUUGAUGAAACAGAUAGGUUAUUAAGGGAAGCUUAUCAGUCCUGGCUUCCUACCGUCAUUCAGUUGACCAGCUCUUCUGUUGAUGGGAACUUCCCUUCUGCUGCUGAUCUUCUUCCUUGCACUUAUGGUUCAUUGAAGACAAUCAGAAGAAUGGGCACUGAAAGAGGGUUCAAGGGAAAAGCCUAUCCAAGGCUGGCAAAGAUGGUUUUAUCAGCCACACUAACACAAGACCCAAGUAAACUUGCUCAGCUUGAUUUGCAUCAUCCUCUUCUUUUGACGACUGGAGAAAGACGUUACAAGCUUCCUGAAGAACUCAAAUCAUUUAAAGUGCUAUGUCAAUCGAAGCUUAAGCCACUCUAUCUAGUUUCCCUUCUUCAAAGCCUGCAAGGGGAGAAAUCAAUUAUUUUCACGUCAUCCGUGGAGUCCACUCAUAGAUUAUGCACCUUGCUCAAGUUUUUCGACAAUUUGCAAAUUGAGUUCAAGGAGUAUUCUCGUCUUCAACGGCAAUCUGUAAGAAGCAAGACGUUGAGGGCUUUCCGGUCAGGGCAAGUGCAAGUGCUUAUUUCCUCUGAUGCUAUGACUCGUGGAAUGGAUGUUGAAGGAGUGAGAAAUGUCAUAAACUAUGAUAUGCCUGCAUAUAUAAAAACAUUUAUUCAUCGGGCAGGCAGAACUGCAAGAGCGGGCCUAAGUGGAUGUUGCUUUAUGUUAAUGCAUAAAGAUGAGAUCAAGCGCUUCAAGAAGAUGCUACAAAAAGCUGACUGUAACUCUUGCCCUACCUAUUCUGCUUCUUCUGAAGUGAUAGAGUCACUUCGCUCUGUGUACACCUCAGCUUUGGAGAAACUUAGAGAGAAUGUUGAAUCAGAAAAGUUUAAGAAAAGCAAGAUUAGGUUGAAAUCUUCAAAUGUGAGAAAGGAGAAGUGAAAAGCUGUCCAUGGUGAUAACUUCCAUUUUCCUAGGCAGUGUAGUCCUCUGUUGCAACCAGUUUAUGAUAUCAUGAUCUAGAUGAAUCGUGCAGUCGGUGGAGGGUCAAAAAGACUAAUCCUGUUCGCGGGAUUGUGAAAGCUGAACUUUCCAUGAAGGUUCAUAGCCAAAAUUUGAGUCUCUUGCGCUACAAUGUGAGAAAAAUUCAAGUAUAUAAGCACCCAGGGGACGUCGAUGGAGACGCGUUUUAUUUGGUUGGUAUGAAAAUAUUGAAUGGCUGGGAUUCUUCAUUGCUGGUGAAAAUUGAAAAAACUGGAGAUUCUCAUCUUGAACUAUGAUUAUAAUGGCAAUCGUUAACUUUAAAAAUGACAUACACCAGUUUUUGUUAUUUGCUGGAGAUCUUUCAUACUUCAAUUUUAUUUAUUUAUGUUGUAUGUUGUA